CGGCAACAGCUCAAAUUUGAAAUCUGGCCUUCUGGUCCGAAUUGUAAUUUGUAGAGGAUGCUUUUGGUACGGUACUUUCCGAGUUCCCUGGAACGGGACGCCUUAGAGGGUGAGAGCCCCGUACGGUUGGAUACCAAACCUUUGUAUAGCUCCUUCGAC
rnacentral:rRNA from 1 species